ACGGCAUCUAGAACACCUCCGCCCUCUCCCCGAAACCCGGCACACGCACAGGAAGCAGCUUGGGCAUCAGCCCGGCGGGACCUCAAGAGCCCCAGCCGGCUGGAGGAGAGGCCCUCGGGAGGCGGGCCCAGUAACGGAGCUCGUUUAUUUAUCCAGUGAAGACUCACUAAGCACCUACUUCGCGCUUCCUGCUGUGACUUCAGACGCGGCAAUUAACAAGGCGAAGCUCCUUGUGGUUAACCCAGGCUGAAUGGCAGGGGGCCCUGCCUGAGCUGCAGUUACCCAAGUGUGAGACGGAGAUGGAGGCGAAGGCCCUGUGAUUGCAGCCUUCACUGCAGAACUGGGAUCACUCCUAAAACUUUCCCUGUAAGAAAG